rnacentral:rRNA from 1 species
UGCCUAAUGCAUGCAAGUCGAACGGGGUGGCCUUCGGGUCACUUACGUGGCGGACGGGUGAGGAACACGUGGGCAACCUGCCUGAUGGAGGGGGAUAACCGCUGGAAACAGUGGGUAAUACCGCAUAAUCCUGGAUCUCGAGUGGGAGAUGUAGGGAAAGUCGCAAGACGCCGACAGAGGGGCCUGCGUCCGAUUAGCUAGACGGUGGGGUAACGGCCUACCGUGGCAGUGAUCGGUAGCUGGUUUGAGAGGAUGAUCAGCCACACGGGGACUGAGACACGGCCCCGACUCCUACGGGAGGCAGCAGCAAGGAAUUUUCCGCAAUGGGCGAAAGCCUGACGGAGCAACGCCGCGUGUGGGAUGACGCUUUUCGGAGUGUAAACCACUGUUCGUGGGGACGAAGCACUGACGGUACCCACGGAGGAAGGCCCGGCUAACUACGUGCCAGCAGCCGCGGUAAUACGUAGGGGUCGAGCGUUGUCCGGAGUUACUGGGCGUAAAGCGCAUGCAGGCGGCUCAUUACGCAUGGCGUGAAAGCCCCCGGCUUAACCGGGGAGGGUCGUCGUGAACGGGUGAGCUUGAGGAUAUCAGGGGCUGGUGGAAUUCCCGGUGUAGUGGUGAAAUGCGUAGAUAUCGGGAGGAACACCUGUGGCGAAGGCGGCCAGCUGGGAUAUACCUGACGCUGAGAUGCGAAGGCGUGGGGAGCGAACGGGAUUAGAUACCCCGGUAGUCCACGCAGUAAACGAUGCAGACUAGGCGUGGGAGGACUUGACCCCUUCCGUGCCGGAGCUAACGCGAUAAGUCUGCCGCCUGGGGAGUACGGUCGCAAGACUAAAACUC